rnacentral:rRNA from 1 species
CAAUAGCGUAUACUAAAGUUGUUGCAGUUAAAAAGCUCGUAGUUGAAUUUCUGGAUGUGAAAGGUGGUCGGCACCUCACGGUGUCUGUACUUAUCAUUCGCGUCCAUCCUCGGGAGGAACAUGUGGACACUUAAGUGGGUCUGCUUGGGAAUCUCGUCAUUUACUGUGAGCAAAAUAGAGUGUUCAAAGCAGGCUUAUGCCGUUGAAUAUAUUAGCAUGGAAUAAUAAGAUACGACUUUGGUCUAUUUUGUUGGUUUACAUUCCAAAGUAAUGAUUAAUAGGGAUAGUUGGGGGUAUUCGUAUUCAAUUGUCAGAGGUGAAAUUCUUGGAUUUAUGGAAGACGAACUACUGCGAAAGCAUUUACCAAGGAUGUUUUCAUUAAUCAAGAACGAAAGUUAGGGGAUCGAAGACGAUCAGAUACCGU